AUGAAGGCCUUAUUCUGGAGCAUUAGAGGUUUCGGUGCUAGGGGGCGCAGGGACCAGCUUAAAGACUUGGUGCGGUCUAAAAAUGUGGAUUUUAUUGGCCUUGUCGAGACUAUCAAGUCUUCCUUCUCCUCUAGCGAACUAUCGGCCGUUGCUGGGAUAGAUAGAUUUAAUUGGAACUUUGUGGCCUCAGAUGGUCACUCGGGUGGUAUUCUCCUUGGUACCAAAAAAGAUAUUUUCGAUUUUGUUGCUUUUGACCAUGGCAUCUUUUGGGCUAGCACGGUGGUAUCUCACCGAUCUCUCAACUCUUUACUAGAAAUCAUGAUGGUAUAUGGUCCGGCUGACCACUCUAUGUCUUACGUCUUUUUGGACGAACUUAGUACUAAAAUUGAGUCAUGUCAGGUGCCUCUCCUGAUUGGGGGCGAUUUUAACUUGUUGCGGUUUCCUUCUGAUAAGAGAUCCUCUAAUUUCUCUUGGCCACUGGCUGAUGCUUUCAAUGCUUUCAUUAGGGACACGACUAUUCGUGAAAUUCCUAGGGUUGGAGCCCGGUACACUUGGACUAAUCAUCAAACUUCUCCCAUUCGCUCAGUCCUUGAUAGGGUUUUUGUUUGCCCUAGGUGGGACUCUCUACUCCCCGUGUUAGUCUGA
rnacentral:rRNA from 1 species